CAGAUGUCCUCUUUAGAGAUUUUAAUAUAAACACCGUUAACCCACAGAUUCUUUUUGAAGAAAUGCCAGUUGCAUAGAAGAAUGCCAGUUGGCAUGAAUGUAACUUGAACAUUUGACAUAUUAAUAGAUAUUUUUUUUUCUGAGCAAAAUAGAUUUUUAUUUUUUUAUAGAGAAGGCAUGUCUGCUUUAGUUCUCUAUUAGAGUCCCAGCUUGCAAUAUCUGUUUGCUUGCAGUGAUGUCAUUAACUAGAAAACAGAUGCACUCAUGAGCAUCAGAAAUCAAUCAUUGCUGUUGGCACUUUAAUAAACAGCUGCCUUCUUAAAUGGUUUGGAAUAAACACUGAUCAUCACCAGCUCUUUUUGAAGGAAGAUCGUGGGAGGUUUGAAAACAAUUUCCAAAGGCUGACAGCAGUCCUGUCUAUUCGCAGCUCACUGUUUGAAGGCACGCGAUGGGGAUCUUACAGUUAG
rnacentral:lncRNA from 1 species